rnacentral:rRNA from 1 species
AGAGUGAACGCUGGCGGCAGGCCUAACACAUGCAAGUCGAACGGCAGCACAGUAAGAGCUUGCUCUUAUGGGUGGCGAGUGGCGGACGGGUGAGGAAUACAUCGGAAUCUGCCUAUUUGUGGGGGAUAACGUAGGGAAACUUACGCUAAUACCGCAUACGACCUACGGGUGAAAGCGGAGGACCUUCGGGCUUCGCGCAGAUAGAUGAGCCGAUGUCGGAUUAGCUAGUUGGUGGGGUAAAGGCCCACCAAGGUCGACGAUCCGUAGCUGGUCUGAGAGGAUGAUCAGCCGCACUGGAACUGAGACACGGUCCAGACUCCUACGGGAGGCAGCAGUGGGAAUAUGGACAAUGGGCGCAAGCCUGAUCCAGCCAUGCCGCGUGAGUGAAGAGGCCCUUAGGUGUAAAGUCUCGUUUUUGGUAGGGAAGAAAGCAAGUCGGUUAAUACCCGGUUGUU